rnacentral:rRNA from 1 species
UACAGAGGGUGCGAGCGUUAAUCGGAAUUACUGGGCGUAAAGCGUGCGUAGACGGUUAUUUAAGUCGGGUGUGAAAGCCCCGGGCUCAACCUGGGAAUUGCAUUCGAGACUGAAUAGCUAGGGUACGGUAGAGGGAAGUGGAAUUUCCGGUGUAGCGGUGAAAUGCGUAGAUAUCGGAAGGAACAUCAGUGGCGAAAGCGACUCCUGGACCAGUACCGACGUUCAGGCACGAAAGCGUGGGGAGCAAACAGG